GCCAGCCUGGCUUAGUGGUUUGAGUGUUGGACUGCAACUCUGGAGACCAGGGUUUGAAUCCCAGCUCAGCA